AAACCGGGAGGACUAGCAAAGAGAAAUAGAAAACAGGCGCAAGGAAAACCACUUGUAAACUUGAAACAUACAAGACGUACUGGCCCAGAGAGCCAGGAAACACAGGGAUAAAUACAUAGGAGAAAACAAGCAACACCUGGAGGGGGUGGCGACAAUAACGAGACAGGUGAAACAGAUCAGGGUGUGACAAUAAGAGGUGUCAAUUGAUAGUACUAAGGAAAGUUCACACUCUGAUAGGUGAGAUGCUGUGAAGCUAGCAGGUGGUACAUCCUGUGAAGAAGUUCAUAGAGACACUCAGCACUUCUAAACCCACCAGUCUGAGAAGACAAAGACCCCAUCUCUCUUACACUCUCUCAAACACGUUCUCAGACACGCUCUUUGAAAACAUGGCUGCCACAUCUCUCCUGCUCCUGUUCAUCACACUCUGACCUGCUCCAGGGCUCACAGAACAGCAAAUGGACGUAAGGGAUAUAGACACACAGAAGGUCUUCUUUCUGGUUUUACAAGCCUACCAAGACUCGGGCAUAGUGAAUGUAAAUGGAGCAGAAGCCAGAUGCCACUCCAAACCCUACAUCAGUGUUACUCACUAU